rnacentral:misc_RNA from 1 species
CGGUUCGAGUCCGCUUACCUCCACUGAUCGACCUCCUGAAAAUAAAUCGCAGGAGAUUUUGUUGUUUGGUGUGACUUAGAGAUUGUUUUCACUGCUUGAACCUAGCUUCCUAUCAUUCCCUUCUAGAUUUUCUUCUUAGGCUGACAGGACGCUGGGCUCACUGAAAUUCCUAAUGGAUUUCAGAAAAGUUCAGUA